rnacentral:tRNA from 1 species
GGAGAGGUCGCAUAGCCCGGUCCAUUGCGAGGGUUUGCUAAACCCUUGAGUCGUAAGACUCGCGCGGGUUCGAAUCCCGCCCUCUCCG